rnacentral:rRNA from 1 species
UACGUAGGGGGCAAGCGUUAUCCCGAUUUACUGGGUGUAAAGGGAGCGUAGACGGCAGUGCAAGUCUGGAGUGAAAGGCGGGGGCUCAACCCCCGGACUGCUCUGGAAACUGUACGGCUGGAGUGCAGGAGAGGUAAGUGGAAUUCCUAGUGUAGCGGUGAAAUGCGUAGAUAUUAGGAGGAACACCAGUGGCGAAGGCGGCUUACUGGACUGUAACUGACGUUGAGGCUCGAAAGCGUGGGGAGCAAACAGG